GGGAGUAUAUCUCUGUGGUAGAGCGUUUGACUGCAGGGAAAGAGGUCCCUGGUUCAAAUCCGAGUGUCCCCU